UGGUGGAGGAGCCCUGUUUAGGCUCUGAUCAUGUGGGUGGAGGCAGAUCUCAAGUGAUCCCCAGAAAGGAGAGAGGAAGACUGAAGAAACAUGGAAAUACGCACCCGGCUCCUACAGCUGCUAAAGGAGGCAAAGCUGGCAUUGCAAGCUCUGGGGAAUCAGGCACCAUGCUACAGAAAGAAGAUGAGGUUUCUUUUUCUCAUCUUCCCUGCAGGAAAGGCAGGUGAAAUGGAAUAGACCA